AUACAUUCAUUUUGACAUACUAUUGGCAUUGUACUUGUUUUUAAUGUAUGUAAUGAUGAUGUAUGG